rnacentral:rRNA from 1 species
GACGAACGCUGGCGGCGUGCUUAACACAUGCAAGUCGAACGGAAAGGCCCUGCUUUUGCGGGGUGCUCGAGUGGCGAAAGGGUGAGUAACACGUGAGUAAACUGCCCUUGACUUUGGGGUAACAUCAGGAAAAUGGGACUAAUACAGGGUAGGAGAUCCUGCUGCAUGGGGGGGGAUGGAAAGAGUCGGAGGUUGGGGAUGGACUCGCGGUUUAUCAGCGUGUUGGUGGGGUAGUGGCGUAACACGGCAUUGACGGGUAGCCGGCCUGGGAGUGUGACCGGCCCCAUUGGGCCUCGGGUACGGCCCGGAGUCCUACGUGAGGCAGCAGUGGGGGACUGUGCGCAAUGGGCGGAGUCCGGAUGCAGCAACUUCGCGUCGUGGAUGACUGCCUUCGGGUUGUAACCCGCGUGCGCCUGGGACGAAGCGUGAGUGACGGUAACGAGUAAAGAAGCACCGGCUAACUACGUG